rnacentral:hammerhead_ribozyme from 1 species
AUCCAGCUGAUGAGUCCCAAGUAGGAAGAAAUGCGCGUUCUGUAU